rnacentral:rRNA from 1 species
UAGGGAAUCUUCGGCAAUGGACGAAAGUCUGACCGAGCAACGCCGCGUGAGUGAAGAAGGUUUUCGGAUCGUAAAACUCUGUUGUUAGAGAAGAACAAGGACGUUAGUAACUGAACGUCCCCUGACGGUAUCUAACCAGAAAGCCACGGCUAACUACGUGCCAGCAGCCGCGGUAAUACGUAGGUGGCAAGCGUUGUCCGGAUUUAUUGGGCGUAAAGCGAGCGCAGGCGGUUUCUUAAGUCUGAUGUGAAAGCCCCCGGCUCAACCGGGGAGGGUCAUUGGAAACUGGGAGACUUGAGUGCAGAAGAGGAGAGUGGAAUUCCAUGUGUAGCCGUGAAAUGCGUAGAUAUAUGGAGGAACACCAGUGGCGAAAGCGGCUCUCUGGUCUGUAACUGACGCUGAGGCUCGAAAGCGUGGGGAGCAAACAGG